rnacentral:rRNA from 1 species
CGAACGCUGGCGGCGCGCCUAACACAUGCAAGUCGAACGAGCGAGAGAGAGCUUGCUUUCUCGAGCGAGUGGCGAACGGGUGAGUAACGCGUGAGGAACCUGCCUCAAAGAGGGGGACAACAGUUGGAAACGACUGCUAAUACCGCAUAAGCCCACGACCCGGCAUCGGGUAGAGGGAAAAGGAGCAAUCCGCUUUGAGAUGGCCUCGCGUCCGAUUAGCUAGUUGGUGAGGUAACGGCCCACCAAGGCGACGAUCGGUAGCCGGACUGAGAGGUUGAACGGCCACAUUGGGACUGAGACACGGCCCAGACUCCUACGGGAGGCAGCAGUGGGGAAUAUUGCACAAUGGGGGAAACCCUGAUGCAGCGACGCCGCGUGGAGGAAGAAGGUCUUCGGAUUGUAAACUCCUGUUGUUGAGGAAGAUAAUGACGGUACUCAACAAGGAAGUGACGGCUAACUACGUGCCAGCCGCCGCGGUAAAA